AGUCGAACGCAGUAGCAAUACUGAGUGGCAGACGGGUGAGUAACAUGUGGGAAUCUGCCUUUUGGCCUGGAAUAACACGAGGAAACUUGUGCUAAUACCGGAUAAGUCUUUACGGGGAAAGUUUUAAUGCCAAAAGAUGAGCCCGCAUUUGAUUAGCUAGUUGGUAAGGUAAAAGCUUACCAAGGCGACAAUCAAUAGCUGAUUUGAGAGGAUGAUCAGCCACACUGGGACUGAGAUACGGCCCAGACUCC
rnacentral:rRNA from 1 species